CUUUGGAUCUUAUCUUUUUUCUACUCAGGUAUGCCAGGGCAAAAACUACUAAGAACUCCCUUCUCCCUCACACAGCCACACACUGGGUCCAUUGUCUGGCGGUGGGCGCCUUGUGAUCAGUGCCCUGAGCUGGUGUCCCAUCCAGACUAUAUUCCCACCCCACACCCAGUGCUGCUGGGAUCCACUGUGACCAUGAUCAGGAUAAAGUGAAUACUGAAAGCUCAAGAAGUUCAGACCAGGAGGCUUUGUGGACUGGGUUCAAGCCAGCAAAAAGGUUCAGUGGGGUAAAGCAAGGACAGGGACCGGACUUUUUCCCUCUCUUUCCCUUCAAUACACACACACACACACACACACCACUGUGCAUUACCCCUGAAAAAGCAAUAGAAAGAAAAACAGGAAAGCAAAGGCUUUAUUAGUUAAACAUCUCGUAUCUUGCCAAAUAUGAAGCACAUGUCCACAAAGCAUACACGUCACAAUACAUAAUAGUCCAAACAUAAUCCCUCACAGGAAAACACUACUUUUUAAUAGCCAUUUGCCAGCUAUCAAAAAACAUAAUGUUGAAAUAGGUUCUUCUAUUUUCUUAAGUUUUUUUUUCUUUUGAAAAUUGUCCUCCUUGCUUGCAAACCUGUUAAUUAAUGAUAAAUGAAUGAUAAAGAAAUUUGGAGCACCCAAGAUACACUUUUUGCAAAUAUUGAGCAUCAUUUAUCAAGCAGGAUAUGAACGGAUUUAUUCAUAAAUUAUUCAUAUGAGCAUUUACACAAGAAAUCUGGUAGUCAUGAAAAGUCCUGUAAAUUAAAAAAAAAAUGGUACCUUACUCAAGCUCCUGAGUGUGUGUAAAUUUACAUAUAAGAAGACUAACUAAUGUAAACCUCCACAUGAUUGACUUUAAAUCAUAUAAUUUACAUGGAUUACUUUAAUAUAUGGAAUAUACUGUCAAAGUUUAAUUGCAUAUUUUAAUAUAUUUACAGCAUUUAGUAGACACACUUAUCCAGAGUUUUACUCUGCCUUUGGUCUCAGAUCAGUGCCCACAUUGGUACCACAUCAUUUAUAGCAUUCACAGAACUGAAGCUAUAUGCAAC